GAGUAUGCCUGUAAGGACGCGGUGGAGGUCCUUCUGAGAGCGCGCCGACGUGACGGCCGUGGACAGCUUUGGCCACGACAUUCCACUACGCCCGCCUUAGCAAAACCAGGAGCUGGUCAGCCUUUUCAAGACCUACCUCGACAACGUCACCAAAGCAAAAGAAGCUGCCAAGAUGGAGCAGAAAAAGCGACAGCACUCAGUGGAGAUGACUGAAACAGGCCGAAGCCAACGUGAGGGUGAGACAAUGUUUUUUCUCUGCGUACAUUCAAUAUUGCAUUUGAUAGCCGGCUACAUUGAGUUUGACCUGUAGUCCUUUGUGAUGGACAGGGAUGUAAUUACCCAGUCUGAAUGUAUGAGGACAUUAAGCAAGAUGUACUCAGCAGUAUGUAGGGGAAUCUAUAGGCUGGCCUGAGCAUCGCGUGACACGAUUCUACAAUGUCCAGGAUAAUUGAAGGUACUAGUGAAUUUGUAUUUACUGUUGGAUCUAAUUAAACAGAUCUAUAGAUGAUUUCAACUCAGCGGUUACUGUCCGCCCUGAGAUUGGAAGGUUGGGGGUUCGAUCCAGGUCAAGCAUACCAGAGACUCUAAAAAUGGACCUGAUGCCGCUCUUGCUUGGCACUCAGCAUUAAGAAGAUGGAUUGGGGGUAACAGCUGAAACAAUUCGGGAAGAGUUUGUGUGUAUGUUAUAUUUUGUGCCGUUUUUGUUAGUUU